CCUACGGGCGGCAGCAGUGGGGAAUAUUGCACAAUGGGGGGAACCCUGACGCAGCGACGCCGCGUGCGGGACGGAGGCCUUCGGGUCGUAAACCGCUUUCAGCAGGGAAGAGUCAAGACUGUACCUGCAGAAGAAGCCCCGGCUAACUACGUGCCAGCAGCCGCGGUAAUACGUAGGGGGCAAGCGUUAUCCGGAUUUACUGGGUGUAAAGGGAGCGUAGACGGUGUGGCAAGUCUGAUGUGAAAGGCAUGGGCUCAACCUGUGGACUGCAUUGGAAACUGUCAUACUUGAGUGCCGGAGGGGUAAGCGGAAUUCCUAGUGUAGCGGUGAAAUGCGUAGAUAUUAGGAGGAACACCAGUGGCGAAGGCGGCUUACUGGACGGUAACUGACGUUGAGGCUCGAAAGCGUGGGGAGCAAACAGGAU
rnacentral:rRNA from 1 species